rnacentral:rRNA from 1 species
CUACGGGCCGCACCAGUGGGGAAUAUUGGACAAUGGGGGAAACCCUGAUCCAGCCAUGCCGCGUGAAUGAUGAAGGCCUUCGGGUUGUAAAGUUCUUUUGGUAGGGACGAUGAUGACGGUACCUACAGAAUAAGCUCCGGCUAACUUCGUGCCAGCAGCCGCGGUAAUACGAAGGGAGCUAGCGUUGUUCGGAAUUACUGGGCGUAAAGGGUGCGUAGGCGGUUCGAUUAGUCAGAUGUGAAAGCCCUGGGCUCAACCCAGGAACUGCGUUUGAUACUAUCGAGCUUGAAUUCGGGAGAGGUGAGUGGAAUUCCCAGUGUAGAGGUAAAAUUCGUAGAUAUUGGGAAGAACACCGGUGGCGAAGGCGGCUCACUGGACCGACAUUGACGCUGAGGCACGAAAGCGUGGGGAGCAAACAGGAUUAGAUACCCGGGUAGUC